UACGGGGGGGGGCAAGCGUUGUUCGGAAUUACUGGGCGUAAAGGGCUCGUAGGCGGCCAACUAAGUCGGAUGUGAAAUCCCCAGGCUUAACCUGGGAACUGCAUUCGAGACUGACAUUGCUAGUAGUAUGGGGAGAGGGAAGUGGAAUUUCCGGUGUAGGCGGUGAAAUGCGUAGAAUAUCGGAAGGAACAUCAGUGGCGAAAGCGAACUUCCUGGA
rnacentral:rRNA from 1 species